rnacentral:lncRNA from 1 species
GAGUCACCUUUAAGAACUGAGUUGAACUCAGACAUAAGCUUCCCCCCUUUUUUCUUUUGCUACAACUUUGAGCACUCAGAAAAGUCCUCAAGGCAAGCACCUUAUAAAAUAAAUCCCACUAGUUUAAACUUUUUCUAAAUGAACUGUCUGUUUAGGCUUUCUUUUCUUAACUGCUUUCUAGGCUUGAUCGAUCCACGAAAAAUUUGAUUCUAAACUCGUUUCAAAACUAGAGGGGGGCAGCGUUUCGUUUCUGAAGGUAUUUCCGAAUUUUGCCCCCCAAAAAAUUCGAAAUUAAUGAAAAUUCGUUAUCUUCAAAAUUAAUUCGUUAAUGGCGGACGCGCAUGCGCAAUUCCCAAAAACAGCACAGAGGGAGAGGACUUUACAGGACUCUCCCACCCUCAUUUUUUGAGUGAUCUUCUUCAAACUUGGUACAGUGGUAGAACACAUUUAACACUGAUAGCUCACCAAAAUUUGGAAUGUUUCCCUUAUCCUCUGAUUUUUGGCGAAUUUUCAUAGCUUUUAUAAUAAACCAUUUUUUAAUAAUUGCAGAAAUCUGUUCUUGGUUUGAAAGUCUUAUUUCCUGUUAAAUUGGGUUGUCUUUACUGUGAAAGUCAUUGUUCUACUUCAGAAACUUUGUUUUUGUGGCUGAAACUUUGUUAAAUUGGUGUGUGUGUGAUAUAUACUGUGUAUACUAUAUAUAUAUAGUCCCUGCAUAUGUGUGUGUGUGUUUGCGUAAUAUGUGUAUAUAGGUAAAGGUAAAGGUAUCCCUUGACGUUAAGUUCAGUCAUGUCUGACUCUGGGGGUUGGUGCUCAUCUCCAUUUCUAAGCCCAAGAGCCAGUGUUGUCCAUAGACACCUCCAAGGUCAUGUGGCCGGCAUGACUACAUGGAGUGCCAUUACCUUCCCGCCAGAGCGGUACCUAUUGAUCUACUCACAUUGGCAUGUUUUCAAACCCCGGGAGCGGCAUGAGCGGCCGCUGUUAGCUCCAGCUCCUGCCAACCUAGCAGUUUGAAAACAUGCCAAUGUGAGUAGAUCAAUAGAUCAGGCGGGAAGGUAACGGCGCUCCAUACAGUCAUGCCAGCCACAUGACUUUGGAGGUGUCUACGGACAACGCCGGCUCUUCGGCUUAGAAAUGGAGAUGAGCACCAACCCCCAGAGUCAGUCAUGACUGGACUUAACGUCAGGGGAAACCUUUACUUAACCACAGUUAUGAAUGACCAAAGGAAUCAUUAAAUUCAAGGAAGCUGCUGCAUGUAGUGGAGGCCUUCAGGGAGGUCCUCCUUCAGUUUAUUUCUAAAUAUUUUCUAAGUGGGCAAGGACUUAUACCUUCUCUGCACACAAUAUACCAUGUGGAAAAAUCAAAACACAUGUGUUAUAUUCUACUGCUAUAAGUUUUUAUAAAAUAGUUUAUGGUUUAUAGUGAUGUAUUACUUCCCAAUCCAUAAAUCAGUGAAAGGAUUAAAAGUGGUUUAUAAAAAGCCUCUCCUCCUUUUUGUGAAAGAACUCUAAUC